UGAGGAAUAUUGGACAAUGUGCGCAAGCCUGAUCCAGCCAUGCCGCGUGCAGGAAGAAGCAUCUAUGGUGUGUAAACUGCUUUUGUACGGGAAGAAACACUCCUACGUGUAGGAGCUUGACGGUACCGUAAGAAUAAGGAUCGGCUAACUCCGUGCCAGCAGCCGCGGUAAUACGGAGGAUCCAAGCGUUAUCCGGAAUCAUUGGGUUUAAAGGGUCCGUAGGCGGUUUAGUAAGUCAGUGGUGAAAGCCCAUCGCUCAACUAUGGAACGGCCAUUGAUACUGCUAGACAUGAGUUAUUAGGAAAUAACUAGAAUAUGUAGUGUAGCGGUGAGAUGCUUAGAUAUUACAUGGAAUACCAAUUGCGAAGGCAGGUUACUACUAAUGGAUUGACUCUGAGGGACGAAAGCUAGAGGAGCGAACA
rnacentral:rRNA from 1 species